UGCCCCAUGGCUUAGUUGGCUAUAGCGUCCGACUGUUACUGCAAGCAAAAUCGGAAGGUCGAGAGUUCGAGCCUCUCUGGGGCAG